GCCAACUUGCGAAAGUGAGCGAAUCCCAAAAAGUGCGUCGUAGUCCGGAUUGGAGUCUGCAACUCGACUCCAUGAAGUCGGAAUCGCUAGUAAUCGUGGAUCAGAAUGCCACGGUGAAUACGUUCCCGGGCCUUGUACACACCGCCCGUCACACCAUGGGAGUGGGCUGCAAAAGAAGUAGGUAGUUUAACCUUCGGGGGGACGCUUACCACUUUGUGGUUCAUGACUGGGGUGAAGUCGUAACAAGGUAGCGCUAGGGGAACCUGGCGCUGGAUCACCUCCUUA
rnacentral:rRNA from 1 species